rnacentral:rRNA from 1 species
UACGUAGGGGGCAAGCGUUGUUCGGAAUUACUGGGCGUAAAGGGCUCGUAGGUGGCCAACUAAGUCAGACGUGAAAUCCCUCGGCUUAACCGGGGAACUGCGUCUGAUACUGGAUGGCUUGAGUUCGGGAGAGGGAUGCGGAAUUCCAGGUGUAGCGGUGAAAUGCGUAGAUAUCUGGAGGAACACCGGUGGCGAAGGCGGCAUCCUGGACCGACACUGACGCUGAGGAGCGAAAGCCAGGGAGCAAACGGG